rnacentral:rRNA from 1 species
GUGAGGAAUAUUGCGCAAUGGAGGCAACUCUGACGCAGCCAUGCCGCGUGCAGGAAGAAGGCGCUACGCGUUGUAAACUGCUUUUAACCGGGAAGAAACCCCAGGACGUGUCCUGGGUUGACGGUACCGGAGGAAUAAGCACCGGCUAACUUCGUGCCAGCAGCCGCGGUAAUACGAAGGGUGCAAGCGUUAGCCGGAUUCAUUGGGUUUAAAGGGUGCGUAGGCGGAGCGUUAAGUCAGUGGUGAAAUCCUGCAGCUUAACUGUAGACUUGCCAUUGAUACUGGCGCUCUUGAGUGCGCUUGAAGUGGGCGGAAUGUGCCGUGUAGCGGUGAAAUGCUUAGAUAUGGCACAGAACACCAAUUGCGAAGGCAGCUCACUAAGGCGAUACUGACGCUGAGGCACGAAAGCGUGGGGAUCGAACAGGAUUAGAAACCCCUGUAGUCC